rnacentral:rRNA from 1 species
UACGAAGGGGGCUAGCGUUGCUCGGAAUUACUGGGCGUAAAGGGCUCGUAGGCGGCCAACUAAGUCAGACGUGAAAUCCCUCGGCUUAACCGGGGAACUGCCUCUGAUACUGGAUGGCUUGAGAUUGGGAGAGGGAUGCGGAAUUCCAGGUGUAGCGGUGAAAUGCGUAGAUAUCUGGAGGAACACCGGUGGCGAAGGCGGCAUCCUGGACCAACACUGACGCUGAGGAGCGAAAGCCAGGGGAGCAAACGGG